CAGGCUUAACACAUGCAAGUCGAGGGGCAGCAUGGUCUUAGCUUGCUAAGGCCGAUGGCGACCGGCGCACGGGUGAGUAACACGUAUCCAACCUGCCGUCUACUCUUGGACAGCCUUCUGAAAGGAAGAUUAAUACAAGAUGGCAUCAUGAGUCCGCAUGUUCACAUGAUUAAAGGUAUUCCGGUAGACGAUGGGGAUGCGUUCCAUUAGAUAGUAGGCGGGGUAACGGCCCACCUAGUCUUCGAUGGAUAGGGGUUCUGAGAGGAAGGUCCCCCACAUUGGAACUGAGACACGGUCCAAACUCCUACGGGAGGCAGCAGUGAGGAAUAUUGGUCAAUGGGCGAGAGCCUGAACCAGCCAAGUAGCGUGAAGGAUGACUGCCCUAUGGGUUGUAAACUUCUUUUAUAAAGGAAUAAAGUCGGGUAUGCAUACCCGUUUGCAUGUACUUUAUGAAUAAGGAUCGGCUAACUCCGUGCCAGCAGCCGCGGUAAUACGGAGGAUCCGAGCGUUAUCCGGAUUUAUUGGGUUUAAAGGGAGCGUAGAUGGAUGUUUAAGUCAGUUGUGAAAGUUUGCGGCUCAACCGUAAAAUUGCAGUUGAUACUGGAUAUCUUGAGUGCAGUUGAGGCAGGCGGAAUUCGUGGUGUAGCGGUGAAAUGCUUAGAUAUCACGAAGAACUCCGAUUGCGAAGGCAGCCUGCUAAGCUGCAACUGACAUUGAGGCUCGAAAGUGUGGGUAUCAAACAGGAUUAGAUACCCUGGUAGUCCACACGGUAAACGAUGAAUACUCGCUGUUUGCGAUAUACGGCAAGCGGCCAAGCGAAAGCGUUAAGUAUUCCACCUGGGGAGUACGCCGGCAACGGUGAAACUCAAAGGAAUUGACGGGGGCCCGCACAAGCGGAGGAACAUGUGGUUUAAUUCGAUGAUACGCGAGGAACCUUACCCGGGCUUAAAUUGCAGAUGAAUUACGGUGAAAGCCGUAAGCCGCAAGGCAUCUGUGAAGGUGCUGCAUGGUUGUCGUCAGCUCGUGCCGUGAGGUGUCGGCUUAAGUGCCAUAACGAGCGCAACCCUUGUUGUCAGUUACUAACAGGUUCCGCUGAGGACUCUGACAAGACUGCCAUCGUAAGAUGUGAGGAAGGUGGGGAUGACGUCAAAUCAGCACGGCCCUUACGUCCGGGGCUACACACGUGUUACAAUGGGGGGUACAGAGGGCCGCUACCACGCGAGUGGAUGCCAAUCCCCAAAACCUCUCUCAGUUCGGACUGGAGUCUGCAACCCGACUCCACGAAGCUGGAUUCGCUAGUAAUCGCGCAUCAGCCACGGCGCGGUGAAUACGUUCCCGGGCCUUGUACACACCGCCCGUCAAGCCAUGGGAGCCGGGGGUACCUGAAGUGCGUAACCGCGAGGAGCGCCCUAGGGUAAAACUGGUGACUGGGGCUA
rnacentral:rRNA from 1 species